UGUCUCGUGGGCUCGGAGAUGUGUAUAAGAGACAGUUCCCGUACUUGGAUAAACUGCGAUGUGGGGACGGAGUAGGUUAGGUUAUCGCACUGUUGGAUAUGUGCGUUUAAGUUGGUAGGUGUGAAGUUUAGGCAAAUCCGGACUUCUUUAACACCGAGAGAUGAUGACGAGGCUCUACGGAGCUGAAGUAACCGAUACCACACUUCCAGGAAAAGCCACUAAGCUUCAGGUUUAUCUAAACCGUACUGAAAACCGACACAGGUGGUCAGGUAGAGAAUACUCAGGCGCUUGAGAGAACUCGGGUGAAGGAACUAGGCAAAAUAGCACCGUAACUUCGGGAGAAGGUGCGCCGGCGUAGAUUGUAGUCCCUUGCGGGCGAAGGUUGAACCGGUCGAAGAUACCAGCUGGCUGCAACUGUUUAUUAAAAACACAGCACUCUGCAAACACGAAAGUGGACGUAUAGGGUGUGAUGCCUGCCCGGUGCUGGAAGGUUAAUUGAUGGUGUAAUCGAAAGAGAAGCUCCUGAUCGAAGCCCCAGUAAACGGCGGCCGUAACUAUAACGGUCCUAAGGUAGCGAAAUUCCUUGUCGGGUAAGUUCCGACCUGCACGAAUGGCAUAAUGAUGGCCAGGCUGUCUCCACCCGAGACUCAGUGAAAUUGAAAUCGCCGUGAAGAUGCGGUGUACCCGCGGCUAGACGGAAAGACCCCGUGAACCUUUACUAUAGCUUGACACUGAACAUUGAAUUUUGAUGUGUAGGAUAGGUGGGAGACUUAGAAGUAGUCACGCCAGUGAUUAUGGAGUCGACCUUGAAAUACCACCCUUUAACGUUUGAUGUUCUAACGAAGAUUACGAAACGUGGUCUCGGACAGUGUCUGGUGGGUAGUUUGACUGGGGCGGUCUCCUCCCAAAGAGUAACGGAGGAGCACGAAGGUUUGCUAAUGACGGUCGGACAUCGUCAGGUUAGUGCAAUGGUAUAAGCAAGCUUAACUGCGAGACAGACAAGUCGAGCAGGUACGAAAGUAGGUCAUAGUGAUCCGGUGGUUCUGAAUGGAAGGGCCAUCGCUCAACGGAUAAAAGGUACUCCGGGGAUAACAGGCUGAUACCGCCCAAGAGUUCAUAUCGACGGCGGUGUUUGGCAC
rnacentral:rRNA from 1 species